rnacentral:misc_RNA from 1 species
UGAUGAUGAUGAUGAUGACUUCAUUGAUGAUGAUGAGGAUAUUGAAAUGUUUGCACCUUCACCUGUCCCCAAUAGUGGAGUUGUAAUUGAGGAAAUAGUGGAUGAUGACAAACCUACAAAUGGAAAUGGUCAGCCUAAACGAUCAAAGAAGAAGAAUAAUAAGUCGAACGACCAUGAGGACCAAAAUAACUCCCAACAGCAAAUUGUUAUCAGGGGGGCUACUGAUGCAUCAGUUUUGGAAAGUGAAGAUGAAGAUGGCUUUCCAGUUACUGCCUCACAAAAAAGCGAAGAUGUUGUUCAGGAUCUCCAAGCAGAAGUAGCUGUACAGAAAGAAAAGAGAGGUAAAGAAAUCAAGAAGAAAGCAAGAGAUGGCAAUGAUGAUGCUGCAGGCAAAAAGAGAAAAGUUAAAAGUACUGAACAAUAUGGUCAACCAAUAAGGAAAAAGAAGAAGGAGAAGCAGAAAGAAAAAGGUAAAGAGGUAGACGCUGAUGAAAUAGACGACAAUGAGAAAAAUGAUCUUUCUAAAGAUGGAAUCCAUCAUGAGGAGGUGAAGCAGCAGGUUUCUCCUGAUGGAAAUGAGCAUCAUCAGAGGGUCCUUAACUCUGAUGCAGACUGUGUGCAUGGUGAAGAUGCCUUGGACGAGAAAAAGAGGAAGAAAAAGAAGAAGAACAAGAAGAAGAACCAGGAUAGCGGGAAGGACAUGAGUAAGGAUCAAGCUGUUUCAGCUGUGGGAGAUGAGGCCAAAUCCUCUCUGGGGUCUCAAGAUAAGCAAUCUUCAGGCAAAUCUUCACAGGUUAGAACCUUUGCCAAUGGUUUGGUUAUUGAGGAGCUAGCAAUGGGCAAACCCGAUGGUAAAAGAGCUUCUCCUGGAUGUCAGGUCAGUGUGCACUACAUUGGCAAGCUACAGAAGAAUGGCAAAAUAUUUGAUUCUAAUGUGGGGAGGGCACCGUUCAAAUUUCGCCUAGGUGUAGGCCAAGUUAUAAAGGGAUGGGAUGUUGGAGUUAAUGGUAUGAGAAUUGGGGAUAAGAGAAGACUCACAAUUCCACCAUCAAUGGGUUAUGGAGAUAGAGGAGCUGGUGGAAAGAUCCCACCAAAUUCGUGGCUUGUGUUUGAUGUUGAGUUGGUGAACGUUCGAUGAUCAGCAUCGUGCCUUUCUUUCAGUUUUGAAUCGGCAGGUUAAAUGGAUUUUGAAAACUUGGUAUUCU